GUAACAAGGUUUCCGUAGGUGAACCUGCGGAAGGAUCAUUGACGAGCCCCGAGACCACCGCGAACAUGUUAUUUUGAAAAGCAGGUGUCGAGCGCGCGCGGGCGCGAUCCCGCGUCGCUCGGCACGACCCCGAACACCCACAAGGCGCGGAUAGCGCCAAGGAAUCACGUUUUGCGGGGCUCGGUGCCGGGUGGCCGGGUGGGGGGUGCAUUAUUCCCCACAGGGUCACGCGGCGCCGGCUCCGGAUGGGUGCGCGAGGAGCGCCCGGAUGUAUACAUAGAACGACUCUCGGCAACGGAUAUCUCGGCUCUCGCAUCGAUGAAGAACGUAGCGAAAUGCGAUACUUGGUGUGAAUUGCAGAAUCCCGUGAACCAUCGAGUCUUUGAACGCAAGUUGCGCCCGAAGCGAUCUCGCCGAGGGCACGCCUGCCUGGGCGUCACGCAUCGCGUCGCAGCCCUCCCCUCGCCACGUCGCGUGGGGCGGGGGCGGAGAAUGGCCUCCCGUGCGCUUCGGAUCGCGCGGCCGGCCGAAAUGAGGUCCCUCGCUGCUGGGCGCCACGUGCAUUGGUGGGUUGGUUAACUCAACUUCGCAUUGCCCUGGCGUCGAGGAGCGGGGCACCAUCGGCACGCAGUCCCCCGCGGCGACAUCGAUCGCCCUCGACCGCGACCCCAGGUCAGGCGGGAUCACCCGCUGAGUUUAA
rnacentral:rRNA from 1 species